rnacentral:rRNA from 1 species
AGGCCCUAUGGGGCGCAGCAGGCGAGAAAACUUUGCAAUGUGCGAAAGCACGACAAGGUUAAUCCGAGUGGUUUCUGCUAAAGGAACCUUUUGUCAGUCCUAGAAACACUGAUGAAUAAGGGGUGGGCAAGUUCUGGUGUCAGCCGCCGCGGUAAAACCAGCACCUCAAGUGGUCAGGAUGAUUAUUGGGCCUAAAGCAUCCGUAGCCGGCUCUGUAAGUUUUCGGUUAAAUCUGUACGCUCAACGUACAGGCUGCCGGGAAUACUGCAGAUCUAGGGAGUGGGAGAGGUAGACGGUACUCGGUAGGAAGGGGUAAAAUCCUUUGAUCUAUUGAUGACCACCUGUGGCGAAGGCGGUCUACCAGAACACGUCCGACGGUGAGGGAUGAAAGCUGGGGGAGCAAACCGGAUUAGAUACCCGGGUAGUCCCAGCUGUAAACUAUGCAAACUCAGUGAUGCAUUGGCUUGUGGCCAAUGCAGUGCUGCAGGGAAGCCGUUAAGUUUGCCGCCUGGGAAGUACGUACGCAAGUAUGAAACUUAAAGGAGUUGGCGGGGGAGCACCACAAGGGGUGAAGCCUGCGGUUCAAUUGGAGUCAACGCCAGAAAUCUUACCCGGAGAGACAGCAGAAUGAAGGUCAAGCUGAAGACUUUACCAGACAAGCUGAGAGGUGGUGCAUGGCCGUCGCCAGCUCGUGCCGUGAGAUGUCCUGUUAAGUCAGGUAACGAGCGAGAUCCCUGCCUCUAGUUGCCACCAUUACUCUCAGGAGUAGUGGGGCGAAUUAGCGGGACCGCCGCAGUUAAUGCGGAGGAAGGAAGGGGCCACGGCAGGUCAGUAUGCCCCGAAACUCUGGGGCCACACGCGGGCUGCAAUGGUAACGACAAUUGGUUUCAAAUCCGAAAGGAUGAGGUAAUCCUCAAACGUUACCACAGUUAUGACUGAGGGCUGCAACUCGCCCUCACGAAUAUGGAAUCCCUAGUAACUGCGUGUCAUUAUCGCGCGGUGAAUACGUCCCUGCUCCUUGCACACACCGCCCGUCGUUUCAUUGAAGUGAGCUUUUAGCGAGGUGACGUCUAAUUGGCGUUAUCGAACUUGAGGUUCGUGACAAGGGAAAAGUCGUAACAAGGUAACC